UGUAAUCAAAUCAAGAAGAAUGUCUUCCAUUGUACAAUACUUCAUAUCAAUCACUUCCAUUUUGAUCUUCUUUCUUAUGAAGUAAUGUUAAAUGUCAAUGUGCUUGAUCUUUGAGUGAUGCUUUAGAUUCUUUUUAAAUACAAGAUAUCUUUAAUUUUCACAUCUUAUUAGAGUUACUUCCAUUUGUACUAUUCUAAUACCCUCCAAAAGUUAUCUUGGCCAUAUUACCUCUAUUAUACCAUGACUUGCUGCCAUGUAUUUUGCUUCUAUUGUUGACCUUGUAAUUAUGAGUUGUUUCUUUCAAUUCUAUAAAAUUGCUCCUAUUCCAAUAAAAAAAUACAUAUU
rnacentral:lncRNA from 1 species